rnacentral:lncRNA from 1 species
UGGGAGUUCUGUGCAGCCUGGGUCGAGAGCAUCCCUCAGAACAGAAUUUGUUUUUGCUCCCGCCAAGCAUCCAUUUGAUAUGUGGAGGCUGGGGAUGAGUGCUAGGAUCAGGAUGGAGAGGAUUAGGGCUAAUACGCCGCCUAGUUUGUUGGGAAUGGAGUGUAGGAUGGCGUAGGCAAACAGGAAGUACCAUUCUGGUUUAAUAUGAGGGGGAGUGCUGAGAGGGUUAGCUGGGGUGUAGUUGUCUGGGUCUCCUAGGAGCAAGAUCAGGAGGAGGAGUCCUAGGAUGUCUUUAAUUGUAUAAUAUGGGUGGAAUGGGAUUUUGUCCAUAUCGGAUGGGAUUCCUGAGGGGUUGUUAGAUCCUGUUUCGUGAAGAAAUAGUAAAUGUACGACUACCAGGGCUGUGAUGAUGAAGGGUAGGAUGAAGUGGAAAGCAAAAAAUCGGGUAAGGGUGGCUUUGUCUACUGAGAAUCCACCUCAGAUUCACUCGACGAGGGUAGUACCGAUGUAGGGAAUUGCUGAUAGGAGGUUCGUGAUGACUGUUGCUCCUCAAAAGGAUAUUUGGCCUCAUGGUAGGACAUAGCCCAUGAAUGCUGUAGCUAUAACUGUGAAAAGUAGGAUGAUUCCAAUGUUUCAUGUCUCUAGGAAUGUGUAAGAGCCGUAGUAGAGGCCGCGUCCUACGUGAAUGAAGAGGCAGAUAAAAAAUAUUGAUGCUCCGUUGGCAUGGAGGUAGCGAAUAAUUCAUCCGUAGUUAACGUCUCGGCAGAUGUGAGUGACGGAUGAGAAGGCAGUUGUCGUGUCUGAUGUGUAGUGUAUGGCUAGGAAUAGGCCUGUUAAGAUUUGGAGGAUUAGGCAGAUUCCUAGGAGGGAGCCGAAGUUUCAUCAGGUUCUACCAACCUGAAACUUCUUUAUGUUGAUUACUCAUUUAGAAGUUUUCAGGACUACAAAGGAAGUGGAAGUUUUAACUACACACUAGCAUGCGGGCAUAUCUUUAGGGGAGGCAUUUUUUUUCCCCGUCGAGAGCUCAAGCCAAAAUAGCUAAGUUGUCUUAUCUUUCUUUGCAGUGUGGAGAACAUUUUCUUUCCCUUUCCACCCUUUCAUUAGGUUAAGUGGCCAUUUGAGAUUCCCAGC